CCCAAAAUAAAAAAAAAGAAGGUGUCUCAAUUUUUUUCAUUUUCCCGCUCUUCAUCUUCUUCCCUCACAUUCUGUCUCCGUCGUUCCGCGAAACGAAGAAACUCACUGCACACUCGCUCACCCAUCUCUUUUGUGCCUCUCUCCUCUUCCUUGUCGCCGCUGCGCUCUACUCUUCCUCCUUCCCCCACCGCCGUCGCGCUCUGCUCUCCCCUUAUCUCUUCUAGAUCUUAGGUAUUAUAUGUUCUUAAUUGAGGUGGGGUUUGCAGACCUUACAUAUAGUUGCAGAACUAUGCAAAGUUGAUGAUGGGAGAUGAUAAAUAGCCGGCGAAGGUGAUGGGAAUAGCAGUAGAGAAAAAGAUCAGGAGCUUCUCAUACCAUCGUUGACUGUUCCGACAUCCAUGACGAUUCUUCUAAAGUUAUCCCUUUCGUUUAUUCUUCCCACCUUUAUGGGUGAGAGGUAGUGCAUGUUAAGAUAAUCAAGCUAGCGCUACGACUUGCGUACAUCAAUCUCAAUGGCUUCAGUCUACUAUCUCAGGUACACAUUCUGAUUUUCUGUUAGUCUUGCUAUUUAGUUUUGAUGAUUCAAUGACUCCUUCCUUGAUGUGUUGUAUGAGGUCUAUGUAAGCCUGGUAACAUCUGUAGCUUUCAUUGUUGCAAGAGCUUUGCUUUUACAGAGGAAAUCCAUGCUUUGCACAGGCUAUCAAUGCCGUGUUCGGGUUGCUUUAUUAUGGUAAUCUGCCUUGUUCCUGGGUCAAGGUUCAAUGUGGUUUAUCACUACCAGCCCUGAACACAAGUAUAGUUCUGAACUCUGUCUAUAUAUACUAUACGAUGCAAUUAAUUAUUUUUUAAGAUGAAGUUGUUUCAAUCAGAGUUGGUUUUUAUGAUGUAAAAUCUGAUAAAGUCAGUAAUACCUUGUACAGAAUUUAAAUAGUGGUCUACUGCCUGAAAAUAUAAAAUAAGGGAGGAGUAACUGUUUAUCUACGAGACUACGGGUAUUAUAACAAUCUGUAGAAGGUAGUCUGUCUUAGAACCCCAAGGAUAACUUUUGGUUUGUGGGAAUUGUUUUACAUUUAUCCUUGUCUGUCUGCAAUUGCGCGUAGGUAUUACUAGAGCCCCAAGGAUAACUAUUGGUUUUUGGGUAUAGUUGAUUAUGACUGGUUGCAAUAGGUAUUAGGUACUUGAAUUGAGUCAUGAUUUUCUCCCAUAUUUCUCCUCGGAAGCUUUGAUUGUAACAUAUAGAAAACAUUAUAUAUGACUUCUAUAUCAUAUUAUUGAACAGUCAAAACUGGUGGAAAGUUUUGAGUAAACUUUCAGAUAAUAUUGUGUAAAGACUAAAUAUAUAACUUGAAUUCUAGAUUUAGAAGAGCUAUGCUUGGAAGUACUCACUGAUUGAUUCAUCUUUAAAUUAUUCAAUAACUAGAUUUGAUUAAGAAAGGGAAUUAUCAUAUCAGAGAUUGCUAGAGUUUUUGUCUACUUUAAUUUGAUAUUUGUUGUUAGGCUCAUUUUAUUAUUGGCAUUCUUCUUUCCUUUGCUUGUGUACUUAACUAAUACAUGUACUAGUUACUUGUAUUUGAAAUGAAAAUUAUCAAUGGUUCAAGUCAGUGUGACAAAUUUUGAAUACAGGUCAACACGAGAUCUUUUUUUCUUAGCUACAUGCAUGUAAAUUAUGCUCUUGGACACCUAUUUUACUUCCCAAUAUAAUAAUUUUAUAUUCAGGUUCUCUCCGUUUUACUUCCUUCCCCCCUCUAGAUAAUCUGGAUCUUUCUUCCUUUAUGUUGGUUUGCCUCUUUAAUUCCAAGUGUGUUGCUAGAAAGCAAGUGGCUAUACUGUGUUGGAAAGUCAGAGGCUUGAACUUGUUGUUUGUUCUGUAUUAGACAGCUUGUUGCUUGACAUAAAUAUGAUUGCACUAUACAUGCAUUAGUAAGCUGGUAUCUUCUGUUUUUUUUCGUGCUGCAUUAUAGCUAAAGUACGUUAAUUAAUAUAAAUCUGUUUGCAGACCGAGAUUCCACCAUAAGGAAUCCUCCAGCUUUUUCAGGUUUUUUGUAUUUCAUUCCUUUCCCAAGAUUGUCAUGUUGCUAGUAAAUCGUUUCUCACCUUAUCUAUUAUUGCACCUUUUAUCAAACUUUCAGGGGAGUCCAGGGAUGUUACGACAUUAAUGCAGAAAAAACUCGUGAAGAGAACUAGACUUGAAGGGUAUCCAGUUGCUUUACAGCCAAGUACAUUUUUUAUGAUGUAUUCAACAAUCCGAGGAGCAACCCUUCACUACGGAGGAGAUAAAUGAAGUUCGAGAUAAUUUGGCAAACUUCAUUAAGAGAUUGUCUUUGAUAUUUUCUUGUAGUGAAUCAUAGAUUGUGAAUUCUAGUUUUCCAUAUGAUUGUAGUGUAAUUGAUUUUUAUAUUUACAAUUAUAUACUAUGUAAUUUAAUUAUCUAUAUAAUUGGAUACUUGUUUUAUGUGA